UGGGGAAUUUUGGACAAUGGGCGAAANCCUGAUCCAGCAAUGCCGCGUGUGUGAAGAAGGCCUUCGGGUUGUAAAGCACUUUUGUCCGGAAAGAAAUCCUUGGCUCUAAUACAGUCGGGGGAUGACGGUACCGGAAGAAUAAGCACCGGCUAACUACGUGCCAGCAGCCGCGGUAAUACGUAGGGUGCAAGCGUUAAUCGGAAUUACUGGGCGUAAAGCGUGCGCAGGCGGUUUGCUAAGACCGAUGUGAAAUCCCCGGGCUCAACCUGGGAACUGCAUUGGUGACUGGCAGGCUAGAGUAUGGCAGAGGGGGGUAGAAUUCCACGUGUAGCAGUGAAAGUGCGUAGAGAUGUGGAGGAAUACCGAUGGCGAAGGCAGCCCCCUGGGCC
rnacentral:rRNA from 1 species